AUGCCGCCCCUGGACCCAACGGUUAUGUUGGAGCUGGGGCAUGGAGACGACGCGCGGGCCGGGCCGGUCAACCCCGGCCUCCAGGUGGGGUCACCCUGUCCAAGGGGCGAUACGACGGUGAAGGCGCGCUCCCCACGCCGCAGCCCGCGGAUCCUGCAGCUGUAUUAUGGGGAGCACGUUGGUUCUGUUGAAAGGGCAUCCAAGAGGAAGGCGGCGGCGGCUGGUGCCGCCUCUGCUAGCGCCCCAGGCAGGCGCUCACCUUAUCCUGGCAGCCGUCGCAAGGCUCCUAAGGUGGCUUCUGUGUCUGAGCUGCUGAAGCUCCCCUUCUCUGAUACUCCCAGGCCGCUUACCGGAAGCAAGCUCAAGCAGCUGGCAAUUUGCUGCGACCUCAACGCCGAUGCUAUAAUCGCCCAUGCUCAAGCUCAAGCCUACUCCUCUGGUGCUGCUCGUCUUACGCAGACUGGUGCCAACCCAACCCCGUCCUCUGGUGAUCGAUCUCUUCUGAAUGUGUAG
rnacentral:rRNA from 1 species